rnacentral:rRNA from 1 species
UACAGAGGGUGCAAGCGUUUGUUCGGAAUUACUGGGCGUAAAGCGCGUGUAGGUGGCGAUGUAAGUCGGGUGUGAAAUCCCUCAGCUUAACUGAGGAAGUGCACUCGAUACUGUGUCGCUUGAGUGUUGGAGGGGAUGGCGGAAUUCCCGGUGUAGAGGUGAAAUUCGUAGAUAUCGGGGAGGAACACCUGUGGCGAAGGCGGCCAUCUGGACAACUACUGACACUGAGACGCGAAAGCGUGGGUAGCAAACAGG